ensembl:misc_RNA Metazoa_SRP Metazoan signal recognition particle RNA
GUUGGGUGCUGUGGCGCAUGCCUGUAGUCUCAGCUACUUGGGAGGCUGAGACUGAGGAUCGCUUGAGUCCAGGAGUUUGGGGCUGUCAUGUGCUAUGCUGAUCAGGUGUCCGCACUAAGUUUGGCAUUAAUGUAGUAACCACCAAGUUGCCUAAAGGGGGUGAACCGGCCCAGGUCGGAAAUGGAGCAGGUCAAAACUCCCAUGCUGAUCAUGAAUGUUUUUAUCGUUUUUGCAACACUAGUCACUAUCAUUCCAUGCAUCCUGAAAUAUGUCUGAUAACCCUCUCCCU